rnacentral:pre_miRNA from 1 species
UAGCUACAAAAUAUCUUAUUCUGUAGCUACUUUGAGUUACGAUAAUUACUAUAUUAAUUUACGAGAUUAUAUUAACUCCAUACUAAGUGGUUUACUAUAACAUUAUGGUAAAUAUCUCCAUAUGUUAUAGUAACCCAACUAUUGUAAAUAUGUAUUGAUAUUAUUGUAAAUUAGUUUAUAAAAUUAUCGUAAAUGGAGAUGGCUACAAAAUAACUUAUUUUGUAGCUG